UCCCGCUUAGCUCAGCGGUAGUAGCGCUUCACUAGUAUCGGGUUGCUUUGUCAGUCCUAGCUAUGAAGAGGUCAGUCGUUCAAAUCGGCUAGUGGGAA